UGUGUGGUGCCAGGGCCUGGUGCCACCCCGCAGCUGGCUGUGCGAGCACCGUGACCUUCUCCACGCUUGCUCGGCUCCUUGGAUCAAAGUUGGUCCAGAGGUGCCUGGUGACAGGCUGGUUCUUCAGAACAAUCCAGCACCGGGGAGGCAACGAUAGGUCCCGCGUGAUUUUACUUCCAUGCAAUUGUUAACACAAUUACAACAGUGAAUACACGAGCCGCGCAGGAAAUCUGGAAACAGAAAAGAACAAAGAGAAAUUAGCAUUAGCCCACUGCCCACAAAUGACCACCGUCAAUAUUCUCUUGGAGUCUUCAUUCGGGGCAGACAUUCUAGAAAAGCAUGGUCACCCUGGCCGAGACUUUUUGUGCUGUGCUCUUACCGCUUAGCAAUGUAUCUGGAACAUCUGUCCUGUCAAUAAAUAUUAUGCCGCAGCAUGA